CAACAUUAAUUUUGCCUAAUUAUGGCAACCAGGAAAUUCUUUCUUUAAUAUUUUUCUGUCUAGGUGUUCAAUGUAAGGGUAUAUCCAUGUGAUUUAUGCAUUAUUCUCCGUUACUUUGGUAAGUAUAUUAUUGAUAGCUUUUCCAAUAUAUUCCUGCUCUUCUGUAUAUUUUAAUUAAAGUAGUGACUCCUUAAUUGAUUUAUUUACCUUAAUUAAUUGAAAACCAGCAAGCAUGCGUAUUUGUGGGCAUAUUUAGUUUCUCCUUAAUUUAAGAAAAAGAUAUUUUAAUUGAUCCUUAGUUAAUUCUCUUUCCUUUAUCAUGUACCCUCCUCUCUACUA
rnacentral:lncRNA from 1 species